AGAUUGAACGCUGGCGGAAUGCUUUACACAUGCAAGUCGAGCGGCAGCGCGGGGCAACCUGGCGGCGAGCGGCGAACGGGUGAGUAAUGCAUCGGAACAUGUCCAUUCGUGGGGGAUAGCCCGGCGAAAGCCGGAUUAAUACCGCAUACGCCCUUAGGGGGAAAGCCGGGGACCGCAAGGCCUGGCGCGAAUGGGUUGGCCGAUGCCCGAUUAGCUAGUUGGCGGGUAAUGGCCCACAAGCGAUGAUCGGUAGCUGGUCUGAGAGGAUGAUCAGCCACACUGGGACUGAGACACGGCCCAGACUCCUACGGGAGCAGCAGUGGGGAAUUUGGACAAGUGGGGGCAACCCGUGACUCCAGCCAUUCCGCGUGAGUGAAGAGGCCUUGGUUGUAAGUCUCGUUUGUCCGGAACGUAACGGUUGUGGUGAAUAGCACGACUACGACGUACGAAGAA
rnacentral:rRNA from 1 species